AGAGGACCGCCUCCAUCUUCCUAGAGCGGCGCCAGGGCCGCCGCGGGUCUCGCUUCCGUCUUGGCGGAUUCGGCGCUCUGCAGGAGCUUGCGGUGAGCGGCUCUGGUUGCGCAACCUGGUGCCGGUCCUGAAGGUUGCGUGUUUGGGCCUCGCAGACGCCCCGCGAGAGCCCCAUGAGGCCGCCCGAACCCUGGCCAGCCCCUGUUGUCGAGGCACGACUGACCUUCCUGCCCCGAGACCUUGUCCUCUGGCUCGAGGUACGCUGGGUGGGCGCCCGCGACCGACAUCUGGGGUCCCCUGCCUCCCGGGUGGAGCGUUCUGAUCGCGGUUGGGUCUGUGGUCACCAUCUCCAGUGGGACAUUGAGCGUCUUACCCAUUUCACCUGAGGUUAGUUCGCGACUUGAAUUUUGCGCUGCAAACCGUUGUUGAUUCAGGGAUCCCUUCUCUCCAAAGGCUCCUUUCGAGUCUUUGCCGUGAUUCCUACAGGUGUUUCUUACAAAAUACUUAGCAAUGCAUUCUUGGUGGGGCCACGGGUUUUCUUAAAAGCCACGAAACCACUGCAGUUCUUUUUUGUUUCUCCAUAUUUUUUUUUAUUGGAGCAACAUAAUUAUGCAUAAUGGUGGGAUUCGUUGUUACCUGCUGCAGUUCUUAACCCUUGCUGCACAGACAUUCAUUUUAGGAAUUUCCAGCAUCGCCAGACACAUUUAUUAGAGAAUGUAUAAAGGGGGGCAUUUGCAGCACCUCAGGAAUCGGUGGAGAGGAUGGUGGAGAACAGUGUCCUAAGGAUAUCUGGUUCCGUUAGGAGACAGAGCAAGUGUGGGAAAUAAGACAGCUCAUUCUCAAUUUUUUUUUUUUUUUUUUUUCUUUCUCUAGCUCUGCAGGUUUUCCAAGACUAGAGGGCGCAGUGCAUGAAGCCAGGGGUUAUCCACCAUGCUCCAGACAGUGUGGUCCCAGGUGAGCUGAGCUUUCUUUUAGCAUACUCAGAGGCAGGAAAGGUCAGGGAAGGCCUAGCAGCCUCAUUUGAUCAGUCCUGUGCUUAGCAUUGCCUCCAUCAGAGUGUGGCAAAGGAGUUUGCUAGGGAGUUGAUUAGAGAAUAUGUAGGCUGGGAAAGAAGAAAGCCCAGCCAAGAAAUUCUCCUAGAAAGUGAAAUCUACUUGUGUGAAAACUCAAAGUGUGGUCCAUGGAUGAGAGUUUUGACAUCACAGGAAGCUUGUUGGGAAAGGCUGGAUUUCAGGCCAGUUCUCCUGAAUUAGAAACCAUGUUUCACAACAUCUGGAGAACUUAGGGGCUGGUUAAAAUGUGAGGAAUGCUAGUCUUCAUCACAAGACCCAAAGGACAUGUAUUUCCUCAAGGAGAGUUUACCCUGCAUGCUGCCUGUGUAGGAUAUAAUGAUACCAAAUGUCUAAUUUGGAAGGUUUGGUUCUUGUGGGUACUGUGCUCUGGGGGAAUGCUGAAUUUGUAGCUGAAGCAGCUCAGUGCAAAGAUGUCAGCUUAACCUCUGUGAGAGCCUAUAGCCCUUGUUGGCACAGAUUCAGGUAGCAUAGGGAGCAGUUGUCCCCUCCCCCAAUCUUGAUGGUAGAGGAUGAGUUUACUGAUUUUUUUUCCAUUGUCCUGUGUCAUAUGCUGAGAAAGCUAUGUAUAUAAUGUAAUGGAUAGAUCAUGUAAUAAGAAAACUCCAUACCCAGAGACUUAAAAGCAAGCAAUGGUGGCUUCUUUUGUGAACAUUGGUCCAUCCAAAUCUGUUUGAGCCCUUCAACCAAAAUUAGUUCUUGCAAGUCAGGAAAACUUUUGUAGGGGCAAUCUGUUCUUUCUUGGCACCUUGCUUGCCUAUUUUCUCAGGAUUAGUUUCCAUUAAGAAAACUCAGAGCAACAAUGGCUUAAACAAAAUAAAACCUUCUCUUCUAUGAAAAACAAGUUUGGGAGAGUCAGUCCAGGGCAACUACACAGUUAUGCACACAGGCUCUUUCAUUCUGCGCUACUAUCCUAGCACUGUUCUCAUGCUGUAGGCCACCUUAUAGUCCAGAGUUGCUGCUUGGUCUCAGGCAAUUAUGUGGGUAUUCUAGUUAGAUGUAGAGAUAACAAAAGAGGUGAACCUUUCAGCUGAGUUUGCAUCCUUCUAGGACCUUCUAAGAAGUCUCUGAUAGUAUUUACAUUUGGGUUUCAUUGAUCUCACUUAGUUGCCUGGGUUGGAUGCAACCUCAGGUAAAAUUAGGGUUCUAUUACUAAAGAAGAAAGCGAGUACAUGCAUAUCAAUAUACCUGUUAGUCUCUGCUAAAGUCUCUGUGAGGAAUAUUUUUCUAGAAGAUUCUGGAAUCUUCUAGAAGCUUUCCUCAGUUUCAUAUAUGGUUGUAGUAAGUAUUGAGAUUUAUAUGACAUUGUGUGCCAGGUGAAUUUUUAGUGCUUAUCUAUAUUAACUCAUUCUAUCCUACAAAAGCCCUAUAAAAUAGAUAUUAUUGGUAUUCUAGUUUUAAAAUGAUGGAGCUGAGGCACAGAGAGGUUUAGUAUUCUAUCCAGUAUCAGGGAUGGAAUUUGAGCCUCAGGUGUCUAGCAGGUAUUUUUCAACCUUGGCUCAAUUUACAUUUUAUCUACAGAUAAUUAUUUGUUUGGGGGGAUUCCCUAUGCAUAAUUCAUCAGCAUCCUUGGCCACUGUCCACUAGGUGCCAGUAGCACCACCACCACCACCAUCACGCUGCAGCUGUGAUGACUAAAAAUAUAUCCAGGCAUUGUCACCUUUCUCCUGGGGGAGGAGGGCAAAAUUGUCCCUGUGUUGAGACAAGGCUCACAAGUCUGCUGUUUGCUACUAUGCUGUGCUGCCUCUGUAACCUGUUUCUCACACACGGGAAUCACAGCUCCACUACAUAAAGGAGGUGGUAAGUGCUGGCAGAGAACAGAAGCAGUGUGAUCACAGAUGCACUUCAUGCAGCAGGAUGUUGAGAAGCUUAGUGUUUCAGAAAACAAGAAACCAAAGAGUGCAUGGAUAAUUACAGAGGUGUGGAGGGGUAGAGCAUAAUGUGGGGGAAAGAAGGUAAGGUCUAUGUUUCCAGCUUUUUUCUU
rnacentral:lncRNA from 1 species